CUCAGUGUCUUUAUUGACAAACCUAUCUCAGUGUCAGAAUACAAACAUGAGGCAUCAUCUGUUUUACAGAGAGUGUGACACUCCAACUGUGACCGACUUUUGAUAUGUUUAAUUCAGGAUGUCAAACUCCACUUUAAAGCUGCACUUCCACCUGGCAGAGUUUGGCACCAUUUAGUGCCGUAAAAUGCAGAGCUACAACUUGGCACACCUCGCUUGAUUUUCCCAAUCAGCUCUUGGCUGACUGGGUUUGACGCAGAUUCAUCCCGAGCAGGCAUACCGCUCAGAACAAGUCGGCAAAAGUCUAGUCGAGAUCAGGAGAAUUCCAAACAAAUUCAAAACCGGCAAGAAUUUAACUUUCCUAACUUCACUGGGUCGGCAUGCUGAUCAGCAAGAUCAGUAAAACUCAAAACGAUGACUCUAAGACACUAAAAUCACUCCUCGUGCCAGAAAUCCCACUGAGAGCUCGCACACAAAGUGUGCAUUCAUUUUGAUGAUGCUGAAAUGAUUUUAAGGCACUAAAAGCUGAUAUUUGGCCUUCUGAUUAAAAUCAGACAUCGGAACCUUACAUGUGACAUGUUCUUUUUCAAAUCAGACGGCAAGCACUUCUGAGAACAAAUCAAACAGAAUUUAAUGAAAUGCUGCGACGGACUGACUGCACACUCAAUGACCUUUUAUUUCAAAAACGCAUUUUGAAAAAUUAAAGCUAAAACAACACAAUUAUAUACCCCAACAAGAGUGACACAGGCAGUACUUUAAACUCAAAGUAUGCAGGUGAAACAUACUGCAAGACGGAGGUCAGGCAACAGUUUGAACCAGGGGGGAAAACAAACAAAAACAAAGUAUAUUUGGACCAUAACAUAACCUGUAAUUUAAAGUAAGACUGGAGA